GCCACUUGCUACCUCCUACGAUCUGUCCCUUUAAUUUCUUGUUCUAAACACGAAUCAAGAUUCAAGAUACAUCCUACAAUGUCAAAACGACAUUAUUUGAAAAAAUUUCAUACAAUAUUGACAGCCAUAAAGUUAAGUAAUUGUAGCACAGUAUUAGCAUCAUAACUACUUGAUCUGUCCCAUUCCUUCUUUUAACUGUCAUCAUCCAUCAACACCCAUUGCCACCUAUUAUAGAGACCUGCUGCCAAUUCCUCUAUCACAUGUGCUUGCAUCUCUUGCCCUCAAUACAAAACCUUGUUUCUCUCUUUCCAAAGCACCCAUAUAACACAUCCCAGAUGCCCAAG
rnacentral:lncRNA from 1 species